AUGAACGCUAGCUACAGGCUUAACACAUGCAAGUCGAGGGGCAGCAUGGUCUUAGCUUGCUAAGGCCGAUGGCGACCGGCGCACGGGUGAGUAACACGUAUCCAACCUGCCGUCUACUCUUGGACAGCCUUCUGAAAGGAAGAUUAAUACAAGAUGGCAUCAUGAGUCCGCAUGUUCACAUGAUUAAAGGUAUUCCGGUAGACGAUGGGGAUGCGUUCCAUUAGAUAGUAGGCGGGGUAACGGCCCACCUAGUCUUCGAUGGAUAGGGGUUCUGAGAGGAAGGUCCCCCACAUUGGAACUGAGACACGGUCCAAACUCCUACGGGAGGCAGCAGUGAGGAAUAUUGGUCAAUGGGCGAGAGCCUGAACCAGCCAAGUAGCGUGAAGGAUGACUGCCCUAUGGGUUGUAAACUUCUUUUAUAAAGGAAUAAAGUCGGGUAUGGAUACCCGUUUGCAUGUACUUUAUGAAUAAGGAUCGGCUAACUCCGUGCCAGCAGCCGCGGUAAUACGGAGGAUUCGAGCGUUAUCCGGAUUUAUUGGGUUUAAAGGGAGCGUAGAUGGAUGUUUAAGUCAGUUGUGAAAGUUUGCGGCUCAACCGUAAAAUUGCAGUUGAUACUGGAUAUCUUGAGUGCAGUUGAGGCAGGCGGAAUUCGUGGUGUAGCGGUGAAAUGCUUAGAUAUCACGAAGAACUCCGAUUGCGAAGGCAGCCUGCUAAGCUGCAACUGACAUUGAGGCUCGAAAGUGUGGGUAUCAAACAGGAUUAGAUACCCUGGUAGUCCACACGGUAAACGAUGAAUACUCGCUGUUUGCGAUAUACGGCAAGCGGCCAAGCGAAAGCGUUAAGUAUUCCACCUGGGGAGUACGCCGGCAACGGUGAAACUCAAAGGGAUUGACGGGGGCCCGCACAAGCGGAGGAACAUGUGGUUUAAUUCGAUGAUACGCGAGGAACCUUACCCGGGCUUAAAUUGCAGAUGAAUUACGGUGAAAGCCGUAAGCCGCAAGGCAUCUGUGAAGGUGCUGCAUGGUUGUCGUCAGCUCGUGCCGUGAGGUGUCGGCUUAAGUGCCAUAACGAGCGCAACCCUUGUUGUCAGUUACUAACAGGUUCUGCUGAGGACUCUGACAAGACUGCCAUCGUAAGAUGUGAGGAAGGUGGGGAUGACGUCAAAUCAGCACGGCCCUUACGUCCGGGGCUACACACGUGUUACAGUGGGGGGUACAGAGGGCCGCUACCACGCGAGUGGAUGCCAAUCCCAAAAACCUCUCUCAGUUCGGACUGGAGUCUGCAACCCGACUCCACGAAGCUGGAUUCGCUAGUAAUCGCGCAUCAGCCACGGCGCGGUGAAUACGUUCCCGGGCCUUGUACACACCGCCCGUCAAGCCAUGGGAGCCGGGGGUACCUGAAGUGCGUAACCGCGAGGAGCGCCCUAGGGUAAAACUGGUGACUGGGGCU
rnacentral:rRNA from 1 species